rnacentral:lncRNA from 1 species
GCAGUUGUCGGGCUGGGACUGCGCGGGUGCUGCGGUGAGCUUCGGGGUCUGGUAUGGCUGGUGCUUGUGCAGCCACUGCCUCCGGCCUCGGUGAUUGCGAAACUGAGGGGCAGUUGGGUGCAGUGAGACUUGACGUGCCUUUUAAGAGAAGAAAGAUGCGUGAAGACUGUCCUGCACUUGGUGCAUUCAUAUGGUUUUUCUCCAGCAGAAACUUUCUUGUGCAGGAACUGAUGAGAAAGAAAUGAGUUCAUUAAAAACCAAGGGAAGGAAUGAUGCCAUCCUCACCUACUGAGGCCAGGUUCCGGAAGGUCUCCAGCAUCACAUCUCUGUAGAGGUCCCUCUGAGCAGAAUCCAGCAAAGCCCACUCCUCCAGGGUGAAGUCCACAGCCACAUCCUCAAAGACCACUGAGUCCUAAGACAAACCACACAGGUGUGCAGGAGGAUUGGAGACACUGAAAGUACUGGGGAACUGGACUCAAUUCAUAAAUUCAAACAAGAUUCUGUGGUGUCCCAACACCUCCUCUAUGACGCGAAUGUUAGAUCUUUUACUUAUUCACAAUCACUUCCUAGUAAACUUCAUGGCACCACUAUCAGUCUGAACUUAUCUCUGCCUUUUUACUGCGACUGCUCUUAUUUUCCUCUACCAGGAGGGUCUAGAGAAAUGCUAUGCAAAUGAAGUAACUUUUCCAUUUGAAACGUUGCAUAACGCAGCAGGCCUCGGUUGUCCAAACGAUGCACAUUUCAUAGGACUUUCGGAAAAGCCUUCCACCAGCUACUGCAGAAAAUGG